rnacentral:rRNA from 1 species
GCGAUCAUACCAGCAUUAAUGCAUCGGAUCCCAUCAGAACUCCGAAAUUAUUCUUGCUUGUGCGAGAGAAGUACUAGGAUGGGUGACCCCUUGGGAAGUCCUCGUGUUGCACCCA